UACGUAGGGGGCUAGCGUUGUCCGGAAUCAUUGGGCGUAAAGCGCGUGUAGGCGGCCACGUUAGUCCGUUCUGAAAGCCCGGGGCUCAACCCCGGGAGGCGGAUGGAUGCUGCGUGGCUCGAGUCCGGAAGAGGCGAGUGGAAUUCCUGGUGUAGCGGUGAAAUGCGCAGAUAUCAGGAGGAACACCAGUGGCGAAGGCGACUUUCUGGCCUGUUCUUGACGCUGAGGCGCGAAAGCUAGGGGAGCAAACGGG
rnacentral:rRNA from 1 species